AUUGAACGCUGGCGGAAUGCUUUACACACGCAAGUCGAACGGCAGCACGGGGGCAACCCUGGUGGCGAGUGGCGAACGGGUGAGUAAUGUAUCGGAACGUGCCCAGUCGUGGGGGAUAACGUAGUGAAAAUUACGCUAAUACCGCAUACGAUCUAUGGAUGAAAGCGGGGGAUCGCAAGACCUCGCGCGAUUGGAGUGGCCGAUAUCAGAUUAGGUAGUUGGUGGGGUAAAGGCUCACCAAGCCGACGAUCUGUAGCUGGUCUGAGAGGACGACCAGCCACACUGGGACUGAGACACAGUCCAGACUCCUACGGGAGGCAGCAGUGGGGAAUUUUGGACAAUGGGCGAAAGCCUGAUCCAGCCAUUCCGCGUGCAGGAUGAAGGCCUUCGGGUUGUAAACUGCUUUUGUACGGAACGAAACGGCGAGCUCUAAUACAGUUUGCUAAUGACGGUACCGUAAGAAUAAGCACCGGCUAACUACGUGCCAGCCGCCGCAGUAACAC
rnacentral:rRNA from 1 species